CGCCCCCACCCCUCCUCCACACAGUUGCUAGAGGACACGGAGGAUUAAAAAAACAUGAUGGACUCUUCAGAAGAGGUAAUGUAUCUUCACUCGAGUUUUUGCGCGUGAAAGUCACCGUAUGACACAAUCUUCUGAACAUAGUCAUACUGAGAAAUAGAGAGAGAGUUGUGUGGAGCUGAUAGUCUUCAUUAACUUUGUAUCAACUCAUCUGGCAAUGGCUUGAAUAUAACGGACGUGCAAUAAUAUCAGAAAGUUACGCACUAAAGCUUUAAGUCAGUUUAAUACUUUAUGGCUCAAAAUCCAGUGAUCCUUAAUUGUG